rnacentral:rRNA from 1 species
UACGUAGGGUGCGAGCGUUGUCCGGAAUUAUUGGGCGUAAAGGGCUCGUAGGCGGUUUGUCGCGUCGGGAGUGAAAACACUGGGCUUAACUCAGUGCUUGCUUCCGAUACGGGCAGACUAGAGGUAUGCAGGGGAGAACGGAAUUCCUGGUGUAGCGGUGAAAUGCGUAGAUAUCAGGAGGAACACCGGUGGCGAAGGCGGGUCUCUGGGCAACAACUGACGCUGAGGAGCGAAAGCGUGGGGAGCGAACAGG